rnacentral:rRNA from 1 species
GGGUUGUGAGGUUAAGCGACUAAGCGUACACGGUGGAUGCCCUGGCAGUCAGAGGCGAUGAAGGGCGUGCUAAUCUGCGAUAAGCGCCGGUAAGGUGAUAUGAACCGUUAUAACCGGCGAUACCCGAAUGGGGAAACCCAGUGUGAUUCGUCACACUAUCAUUAACUGAAUCCAUAGGUUAAUGAGGCGAACCGGGGGAACUGAAACAUCUAAGUACCCCGAGGAAAAGAAAUCAACCGAGAUUCCCCCAGUAGCGGCGAGCGAACGGGGAGGAGCCCAGAGCCUGAAUCAGCAUGUGUGUUAGUGGAAGCGUCUGGAAAGGCGCGCGAUACAGGGUGACAGCCCCGUACACAAAAGCGCAUGUGCUGUGAGCUCGAUGAGUAGGGCGGGACACGUGGUAUCCUGUCUGAAUAUGGGGGGACCAUCCUCCAAGGCUAAAUACUCCUGACUGACCGAUAGUGAACCAGUACCGUGAGGGAAAGGCGAAAAGAACCCCGGCGAGGGGAGUGAAAAAGAACCUGAAACCGUGUACGUACAAGCAGUGGGAGCACAGGUUUACCUGUGUGACUGCGUACCUUUUGUAUAAUGGGUCAGCGACUUAUAUUCUGUAGCAAGGUUAACCGUAUAGGGGAGCCGGAGGGAAACCGAGUCUUAACCGGGCGUUAAGUUGCAGGGUAUAGACCCGAAACCCGGUGAUCUAGCCAUGGGCAGGUUGAAGGUUGGGUAACACUAACUGGAGGACCGAACCGACUAAUGUUGAAAAAUUAGCGGAUGACCUGUGGCUGGGGGUGAAAGGCCAAUCAAACCGGGAGAUAGCUGGUUCUCCCCGAAAGCUAUUUAGGUAGCGCCUCGUGAAUUCAUCUCCGGGGGUAGAGCACUGUUUCGGCUAGGGGGCCAUCCCGGCUUACCAACCCGAUGCAAACUGCGAAUACCGGAGAAUGUUAUCACGGGAGACACACGGCGGGUGCUAACGUCCGUCGUGAAGAGGGAAACAACCCAGACCGCCAGCUAAGGUCCCAAAGUCAUGGUUAAGUGGGAAACGAUGUGGGAAGGCACAGACAGCCAGGAUGUUGGCUUAGAAGCAGCCAUCAUUUAAAGAAAGCGUAAUAGCUCACUGGUCGAGUCGGCCUGCGCGGAAGAUGUAACGGGGCUAAACCAUGCACCGAAGCUGCGGCAGCGACGUUUAUGCGUUGUUGGGUAGGGGAGCGUUCUGUAAGCCUGCGAAGGUGGCCUGUGAGGGUUGCUGGAGGUAUCAGAAGUGCGAAUGCUGACAUAAGUAACGAUAAAGCGGGUGAAAAGCCCGCUCGCCGGAAGACCAAGGGUUCCUGUCCAACGUUAAUCGGGGCAGGGUGAGUCGACCCCUAAGGCGAGGCCGAAAGGCGUAGUCGAUGGGAAACGGGUUAAUAUUCCCGUACUUGGUGUUACUGCGAAGGGGGGACGGAGAAGGCUAUGUUGGCCGGGCGACGGUUGUCCCGGUUUAAGCGUGUAGGCUGGUUUUCCAGGCAAAUCCGGAAAAUCAAGGCUGAGGCGUGACGACGAGGCACUACGGUGCUGAAGCAACAAAUGCCCUGCUUCCAGGAAAAGCCUCUAAGCAUCAGGUAACAUCAAAUCGUACCCCAAACCGACACAGGUGGUCAGGUAGAGAAUACCAAGGCGCUUGAGAGAACUCGGGUGAAGGAACUAGGCAAAAUGGUGCCGUAACUUCGGGAGAAGGCACGCUGACACGUAGGUGAAGUGAUUUACUCAUGGAGCUGAAGUCAGUCGAAGAUACCAGCUGGCUGCAACUGUUUAUUAAAAACACAGCACUGUGCAAACACGAAAGUGGACGUAUACGGUGUGACGCCUGCCCGGUGCCGGAAGGUUAAUUGAUGGGGUCAGCGCAAGCGAAGCUCCUGAUCGAAGCCCCGGUAAACGGCGGCCGUAACUAUAACGGUCCUAAGGUAGCGAAAUUCCUUGUCGGGUAAGUUCCGACCUGCACGAAUGGCGUAAUGAUGGCCAGGCUGUCUCCACCCGAGACUCAGUGAAAUUGAACUCGCUGUGAAGAUGCAGUGUACCCGCGGCAAGACGGAAAGACCCCGUGAACCUUUACUAUAGCUUGACACUGAACAUUGAGCCUUGAUGUGUAGGAUAGGUGGGAGGCUUUGAAGCGUGGACGCCAGUCUGCGUGGAGCCGACCUUGAAAUACCACCCUUUAAUGUUUGAUGUUCUAACGUGGACCCGUAAUCCGGGUUGCGGACAGUGUCUGGUGGGUAGUUUGACUGGGGCGGUCUCCUCCUAAAGAGUAACGGAGGAGCACGAAGGUUGGCUAAUCCUGGUCGGACAUCAGGAGGUUAGUGCAAUGGCAUAAGCCAGCUUGACUGCGAGCGUGACGGCGCGAGCAGGUGCGAAAGCAGGUCAUAGUGAUCCGGUGGUUCUGAAUGGAAGGGCCAUCGCUCAACGGAUAAAAGGUACUCCGGGGAUAACAGGCUGAUACCGCCCAAGAGUUCAUAUCGACGGCGGUGUUUGGCACCUCGAUGUCGGCUCAUCACAUCCUGGGGCUGAAGUAGGUCCCAAGGGUAUGGCUGUUCGCCAUUUAAAGUGGUACGCGAGCUGGGUUUAGAACGUCGUGAGACAGUUCGGUCCCUAUCUGCCGUGGGCGCUGGAGAACUGAGGGGGGCUGCUCCUAGUACGAGAGGACCGGAGUGGACGCAUCACUGGUGUUCGGGUUGUCAUGCCAAUGGCACUGCCCGGUAGCUAAAUGCGGAAGAGAUAAGUGCUGAAAGCAUCUAAGCACGAAACUUGCCCCGAGAUGAGUUCUCCCUGAGACUUAGAGUCUCCUGAAGGAACGUUGAAGACGACGACGUUGAUAGGCCGGGUGUGUAAGCGCAGCGAUGCGUUGAGCUAACCGGUACUAAUGAACCGUGAGGCUUAACCUUACAACGCCGAAG